rnacentral:rRNA from 1 species
CUAAGUUUGAUGGCGACCGGCGCACGGGUGAGUAACACGUAUCCAACCUGCCGAUGACUCGGGGAUAGCCUUUCGAAAGAAAGAUUAAUACCCGAUGGCAUAGUUCUCCGCAUGGUAGAACUAUUAAAGAAUUUCGGUCAUCGAUGGGGAUGCGUUCCAUUAGGUUGUUGGCGGGGUAACGGCCCACCAAGCCUUCGAUGGAUAGGGGUUCUGAGAGGAAGGUCCCCCACAUUGGAACUGAGACACGGUCCAAACUCCUACGGGAGGCAGCAUG